GACGAACGCUGGCGGCGUGCUUAACACAUGCAAGUCGAACGGAAAGGCCUGCUUUCCCUUGUGGAUUGCGGGUACUCGAGUGGCGAACGGGUGAGUAACACGUGAGUGAUCUGCCCCCAACUUGGGUAUAAGCCUGGGAAACUGGGUCUAAUUCCCGAUAGGACUGCAGGGUGGUGCCUGUGGUGGAAAACGAUUUUCUAGUGGUUGGGGAUGAGCUCGCGGCCUAUCAGCUUGUUGGUGGGGUAAUGGCCUACCAAGGCGGCGACGGGUAGCCGGCCUGGGAGGGUGGACGGCCACAUUGGGACUGAGAUACGGCCCAGACUCCUACGGGAGGCAGCAGUGGGGAAUAUUGCACGAUGGGCGGAAGCCUGAUGCAGCGACGCCGCGUGGGGGAUGACGGCCUUCGGGUGGUAAACUCCUUUCGACCGCGAGGAAGCCACCUGGUUGGAAGGGUGGUGACGGUAGUGGUAGAAGAAGCACCGGCUAACUACGUG
rnacentral:rRNA from 1 species